UACGUAGGCAGCGAGCGUUGUUCGGAGUUACUGGGCGUAAAGGGUGCGUAGGCGGUUGUUUAAGUUUGGUGUGAAAUCUCCCGGCUCAACUGGGAGGGUGCGCCGAAUACUGAAUGACUAGAGUGCGGGAGAGGUGAGUGGAACUGCGAGUGUAGAGGUGAAAUUCGUAGAUAUUCGCAAGAACACCAGUGGCGAAGGCGGCUCACUGGCCCGAUACUGACGCUGAGGCACGAAAGCGUGGGGAGCAAACAGGAUUAGAACCUCUAGUCA
rnacentral:rRNA from 1 species